rnacentral:lncRNA from 1 species
ACAAUAUAAAGGGUAAAAUAUAUUAACUAAUUUUUAAAAUACAAAGUUACGGUACGGUACGGUAUUACCAUGGUAUUGAAGAUACAAUACCGCUACCGUACCGUAAGAUAAUGGUACGGUACCGAUACCGUACCAAAUGUAGUGGUAACCGAUAGUUCGGUAUUUAUUCGGUAAUUGUUGGUAGGUAUACCGUGGUAAUCGGUAUUUGGUAAUUUUUGCCCAGC